UUUUCUCUCAGAAACCUCACGAGUCUCUGUUUGUACCCACAUUUGCAUGUCCACUCAGACAUAACUAAUGUGCAUAGUUAGAUUGAUUUCUAAUUACAAUGAGCCGCUCAAAAGGUAAUUGGGGGCCGAUAGAUAGAAAUAUUGGCCAAUGAAUAAUUGGACAAUUCAUUUUGGUCCAAGACAAGUCACAUAAAAACUAAGGCCAAUGGGAAGUUUCGAAAGUUAGGCCAUUGGUUAUCGGCCGGCCCGUAGUCGUCAAUUUAAAAAGAGACUUAUUGUCUAAAAUAUCAUCGGCCGAUUGUUUAAAUCCCUCUAGUCAGUUUCCAACUCGAACUCAACUUAGAAAGAUAAUAGCCGAUGUAGUUAGUAGUUCAAUCAAAUUGAAGUUCAUUAGCCGAUGAAGAGAGUUCAAUCCAAGGUAGUCUACUUCAAGUUUAAUUGCAGCCGUUGAUGAACACAUCAGAGCCGAUCCAGAUAGAGUCCAGCGUCAAGUCAGCCGACGAUAAGUAUUGAAGCCAAAGCAAGAUAGAGUCACUGAGCCAGAAGGAGGCCGAAUUCCACUCAACUUCAAAGAGCCAAGAGAUAAGUUCAAGUCACAAGAGCAGCCAAUAUAAAUAGAAGCAUCGACAGAAGACAUAACACACACAACUCCAGAAACUCAAGCCAUCAAGCUUUUCUUAUUUUCGUAUUACCUUUUGCUUAGGAUCUCAUCGAGAAAGGAAAGCUGAAAUUCCCCGAGACGAGCAAACCGGCUCAGCUUGUCGAUACCGACCCAUUUCCAGUCAACAUGGUGUACGUCAACUUCCCAAGAGGUCACCGGAGGAAUUGGCCAAAUAUGAACUUGUCUGAUCCUAGGGCCCGUAGGAGGUAUAUGUUUCGUGACCAGAGGAGGGAGUCAGUUUAUGACAGUCAGGAUGAGGAUGCAUAUGAUAUGACAAUGCCACCGGCUUUGAAGGCCUCAUCGUCCUCUACUUCAAAAGCACCGCUGGCCAGUGCUGUGAUUCUGUGCAGCCGUUGCAACUGUGAGGUAACCCUCAGUAAUCUUCUGCAAAUCAAGAACCAAGAGUUAGCUACUGAUCAACAGGUAAAGCCAGAUUUAAAAGCUCCAACUAAUUGUGAAGAAAAUAAGAAAAGAGACACAGGAAAGAAACAUGCUGGCAAUGAAUUGGAGACUCCCACGGCCAAUUCGGCCGAGGAUGACGUACUUAAGCUUUUUGGCCCUCACAGUCCCAAGGGAUUUUAUCAGGGACAGCAAACUUCCCAAAGUGUUUUUAAGAGGAUAAAGGAAUCUGAAAACGCCGAGAGCGGACGACUUUCGGUGAGGAGGAGGUUGACUUUUGAGGAUGAUGAUCUUGAGGGAAAUUUUGCUGAUGGUUUCACUGGCCGACGGCGAUCAGGUUUUGACCAAGAUGAUCGAUUUUAUGACCAAGAUUACUUUGCUAGAAAUAGAGGCCGUAGACCUUAUAGGACAUAUCGGCCACCAGUUACUCAUGACAAUAGGUGGUAUGGCCGAGCGGCCAGAGAUCAACCAUUUUCCCCUUUGACAAAAACUCAAAAGAGACGCAUGCAGAGAGAAGUGGCGGCUGCGAGGCAGCAAGGGUCUGAGGGGCAGGAAAUCAAACGCUCAACUGAAGCCGAUAACAGAGAAGCCCCCAUAAUAAGAGAAAACUUUCAUAAGGAUUCAGGAGAACCUAUGGAACUUGAGACCAUCGGUGACCAGUUUGAGAAUGUUCUUAGCUUCCCAAAGCUACCUCACCUGCGGUUUACCGAAGGAGGGGUAAAGAUCUUCAAACAUCUCAACCCUCCAUUUAAGUUGGCUGAAUUGGAGACAAUGAGAAAGUUCCAUCAGAAACAUUCAGCCCUUGCAGUUUAUGGGCUUCCGAGGAGCCAAGAUUAUAUUCUCAAUACAAUAAUAGCAAAUUCUGAUGCAGAUCAUGCUCUGAUUCGGCAGGGUUUCCAUAGCCGAUUCAUUACUCCUGGUUUGAAAGCCUUGUAUCAAGCACAUCGCAAAGGAAUUCAAAAGAAGGAUAUAGUCGCUCAAAUUCCAGUUUCAGAAGCCGACUUUCAUUUCCUUAGAUGUUUUCAUAGAAGUCACUCGGCUGAGGAAACCUAUGGCAUAACGCUAGAAGAGGUCCAGCUCGCAAGAGAACUUGAUGAUUAUUUAGAGAAGAAAGACUUCGCAACUGAAGAGCAAGCGAAAGCCGAUGCCAGAGCUAAGGAUAUUGAGCAACAAAAGGAAAUACAGAAGGCGGCUAAGGAUAAGACGCCAAAUGGGAAAAUCCCCACCAUAAAAGUACUGAGAGGACAGGAUCCGCCGUUUUCAAAUCAAGAUCUAGGAAUGAUGAAGAAAUAUCAUAGGAUGUAUUCAGCAUUGGCCACUUAUGGCCUAAUGGAGGAGGAAAGCGCGAUGAUGAAAAUGUUGGAAACGAAUCUGUCUUCUGAAUCUUACCUCAUCACUGAGGAUUCUAGCAUCGGCUUAAAGAUCAGUUAUCAGGCAAUGAUGGAGAACUGUAAGAUGGAAGCCAACAUUGAUAAUUUGCCCAUCUCUGAUUCUGACCUUGCUUACCUUCGCACUUACCAUAAACAACAUCCGGCUGCUGAAAUAUAUGGAUUCACGUCCGCAGAGAGCAAACUAUUGGACAAUUUGUCCACAUACCUGCGGGCUCGUGCAAUUGAAUGGCAAGCUGAGACAGAAAAGGCAUCCACCAAGCUGACAACUGGGGCCAUUGAAGAAUUAAAGAAAGAGCAAGCCAGUCUCAAUCAGAAGUUGAAAGAUGAGGAAAUGGUAGAUGGUGCUGCCACGAACAAUGGCAAGCAGGACGAUUUUGGAGACGAAGGUGAUGAGGAAGUCGAUUAUGGGGAAGAGGAGGAACAAGGUGACUACGAAAAUGAAACUGGAAUCGACUACGACAUAGGAGAUGACACAGCUUUUGACAUAGAAAACUUAUCCCCAUUUUACAAGGACGAGGCCUUUGGAAAAGGAGAAGGUAAUACAAUGGACAUCAACAUGGUUUAUGUCCUACCUUCAGAACUCAAAGCUCAACCAGGUCAGUCAAAUGAACUGAUCGGCGACUUUGUUGCCGAUCAACAACCUCGAUUUGAGAUUGAUGAAGUCGAUGCCCAGUUGAAGGAUGACGACGGCCGUGUGGUACUCACAAAACCAACGGCCAAAAUGGCUCAACAUUUGAAGCCGUUAUACAUCACGGCUUACAUAGAGGGAUAUCCAAUAACGAAAGUUUUGGUGGACAAUGGUGCGGCAGUUAAUGUGUUACCUACAGCCGUCAUGAAGAAAUUACGCAGAACUGAAUCUGAUUUGCUCCCUUCAGACAUUACAGUGAGCAACUUCUCUGGAGGUAAAAGCAGGCCAAGAGGUAUUCUCCCACUCGAUGUCACUGUGGGGGAAAAGACAAACAUGACAGCUUUCUUCGUGGUCGACUCAUCUGCUCAUUACAAUGCAUUGCUUGGCCGCGAUUGGAUUCACCAGAACAUGUGCGUCCCUUCUUCCCUGCAUCAAGUGUUGAUCUUCUGGCAUGGAGACAAAAUUGAGGUCAUUCCAGCAGACAAUAACUCAUUUCAGGCAUCCACCAAUGUAGUCGAAGCAAGGUUUUAUGAGGAUGACAUUGGUUAUUUUACUUUCAGUGGACGAGAUAGCAAGGGCCGACCUACUCAAGUUACGGCCCAGAAAAUUGUCAACCUAGGGAGUGAGGAUGUUUUGUAAGAUGCAGAGCGUCCAACCCUGGUUGACCUCUUCAAAGACAAUAUCAAUGUCUAGAGACCCAAGGUCUCUAGAAAGAAAGGCCGCAGUCCGAUCUAUUUUAGGACGUUUGCUGGCCUAUUGGGCCGACAGGACUACUAAGUCUAACUCGGCCAUCAGCUUGAUGGAAUAUAUUACAGAACAACAGGAAGAAGAACUGCAGUUGGAAGAUAUCGGCCCAGCCCCGGCCAAAUUAGAAGGUACUGAAGCCGAAACUCAAGAUCCCGUAAACCAAAACGGAUCAAAGGUAUUAUCCCACAAUGUGGGAAGCUCGAGCUACUGAGUACUGGUGUGACCAAAGGUCGGCCACCAGCUUAUAGUGUAAAUAUGUUUUGGCCAUCUUGAUUUUGGCCGAUGCAAUUCAGCCAAAAAGAAUUUUAUUUUUAUCAGUUUGUUUGCUUGACCAUUAUGCUUCAUUUGUACUUACUGAUACAAGAUAUUAUCUAUACAUGACACAACAAUGUUUAUGAUACUUUACCGGCAAGCAAAUACUUAAUUAGUUUUUCAUCGGCCCAUAAGUUUCAAUUGUUUACAAAAAAAUCGGCCAAUGGCCGACAAAGAGCCACAUACAUCAAUCAUCAUUACUUGGCUAAUAAAGCUUUCAGAGCUCCCAAGGUUCAACCAGUGUCCUGAGGGUCAUUCUCAAGUUGCAAAUGCGCGUUUGGUAAUACUUUUUUGUUUGCCUUCAUAAUUGUCUUCUCUAGUCCAUUUCGCAGCCAUCGCUUGGCCGACACAAUCUUACAAGUUAUAGAGCAUCAUUGGUUCGCACAUCAUGUUUCUCAGUGUACAUCAAGUUUCUCGUUAUUCGGCGCUAUUCGCCGAAAACUAAGAAACUUGGGGGGGGGCAAAGGCAUAUUACAUGCAUAUGAGCCAAGAUAUUGUCGUUCAAAAAAAAAAAAAAAAAAAAAAGGAUCAAAGAGGGAAACGGGUAGUUGGCUGCCAAUUUUUCAUUUUGUGUUGGCUGCCAACUUUUCAUUUUGUGUUGGCUGCCAACUUUCUUUUUGUGUUGGCUGCCAACUUUCUUUUUGUGUUGGCUGCCAACUUUCAUUUUUGAGUUGGCUGUCACUUUCUUUUUGUGUUGGCUGCCAACUUUUCAUUUUGUGUUGGCUGCCAACUUUUUUCAUUUUGUGUUGGCUGCCAACCUUUCAUUUUGUGUUGGCUGCCAACUUUCUUUUUGUGUUGGCUGCCAACUUUCAUUUUGUGUUGGCUGCCAACUUUCUUUUUGUGUUGGCUGCCAACUUUCAUUUUUGAGUUGGCUGCCAACUUUCUUUUUGUGUUGGCUGCCAACUUUCAUUUUGUGUUGGCUGCCAACUUUCAUUUUGUGUUGGCUGCCAACUUUCUUUUUGUGUUGGCUGCCAACUUUCUUUUUGUGUUGGCUGCCAACUUUCAUUUUGUGUUGGCUGCCAACUUUUCAUUUUGUGUUGGCUGCCAAUUUUUUUUUUUCAUUUUGUGUUGGCUGCCUUUCUUUUAAGUUGGCUGACUUGAAUUUCCUCAUGCAUGUUGGCCAACUUAAAAAUGUGAACUCCCUUGUUGGCUUACUCUUCCUCACUUGGGCUCAUUGGCCAACCUAAGGUUCUUCAUGUGUUGGCUUACUCCUCCUUACUUUGGCCAACUUGAACUUUUUCAUGUGUUGGCUUACUCAAAAUAGAUUGCUUGUUGGCUUACACUUCCUCACUUUGGCCAACUUGAAAAUUGAUUCCCUUGAUGGCUUACUCUCUUUUGUUGGCUAACUUGGAUUUUCUUACUCAUUGGCCAACCUGAGAUUUUUCAUGUGUUGGCUUACUCCUCCUUACUUUGGCAAACUUGAAAAUUGUUGGCCAAGUUGAACUUUUUCAUUUGUUGGCUCCCACUAGCCACUCAAUUCCUGGCCAACUUAAGGUUUUUCAUGUGUUGGCCAACAUGAGCUACAAAUUGGCUUUCUAGUAAUAUGUUUUGUUUGUUGGCUGAUAUUUAGCAUUUUCACCUGUUGGCUUCCAUGAGCCACUCUCUCUUGUUGGCCAACUCCAAUUCUAUCAAUCGACUAAACUCGAGUAAGUUAUUUGUUGGCCUUCAUUAGCCGAUUUGCCUUUUCAUUAUUCUGUUGGCCGAUUUGAUUAAUGUUUAUUGGCUUACGUGCAUCCAUUGAGUUGUUGGCCACCAUGAGGCAUAUUCACUUGUUGUCCUACUCAAACUUGUUUAUUGGCUUACUCACAAACCGCUCACUUCGAAUAUCAUUUUGUUCAGUUACUUGCUUAGGCCAAUUUAGUCGAUUUUCCGAAAUAUCAUUCGACCAAGAAAAUACAUUCUAGCCAUCAGGGAGGUCAUGUGGGACAUAUUUACAUGAGUUUUCGGAAGUCGAUUAGGGGGCCAAGUUGACUCAAAUUUCUCAACCACUCGGCGACAUUCGCCGAUGCUUAAGAAACUUGGGGGGGGGCAAUGUUUGUACCCACAUUUGCAUGUCCACUCAGACAUAACUAAUGUGCAUAGUUAGAUUGAUUUCUAAUUACAAUGAGCCGCUCAAAAGGUAAUUGGGGGCCGAUAGAUAGAAAUAUUGGCCAAUGAAUAAUUGGACAAUUCAUUUUGGUCCAAGACAAGUCACAUAAAAACUAAGGCCAAUGGGAAGUUUCGAAAGUUAGGCCAUUGGUUAUCGGCCGGCCCGUAGUCGUCAAUUUAAAAAGAGACUUAUUGUCUAAAAUAUCAUCGGCCGAUUGUUUAAAUCCCUCUAGUCAGUUUCCAACUCGAACUCAACUUAGAAAGAUAAUAGCCGAUGUAGUUAGUAGUUCAAUCAAAUUGAAGUUCAUUAGCCGAUGAAGAGAGUUCAAUCCAAGGUAGUCUACUUCAAGUUUAAUUGCAGCCGUUGAUGAACACAUCAGAGCCGAUCCAGAUAGAGUCCAGCGUCAAGUCAGCCGACGAUAAGUAUUGAAGCCAAAGCAAGAUAGAGUCACUGAGCCAGAAGGAGGCCGAAUUCCACUCAACUUCAAAGAGCCAAGAGAUAAGUUCAAGUCACAAGAGCAGCCAAUAUAAAUAGAAGCAUCGACAGAAGACAUAACACACACAACUCCAGAAACUCAAGCCAUCAAGCUUUUCUUAUUUUCGUAUUACCUUUUGCUUAGACAAUUCGUAUUCACUCACACUCUCACAACCACACCCAAUUCACCCGACCUUCAGCCAUCAAGUCCUUGAUCCAAAGGCAGCGAACUAUCGGCCGAGAAUCAGUUCCUUCCUCGGCCAACAAUUGCUUGAUAAGUCAGAACUACAUCUACUACAACUACAAUUGCACACUUGGCCUUCUGGCCGUGUGCUGGCACGCCCCGCAAUCUACUCACCAAGAAGGACAUUUGUUCCUUGAUCUCUCGGCUUUCUGGCCGAGGUGAUUUUUAGAGGCAACAGUCUCUGAAUCGAAGCACAGAAGCACCAACCCACCACCACCUUCACUACCAGGUUUACUGAUCGCAACCCACAACUUCUUAAAUGUUAGAUUUUGAAAAUUUCAUUGCUUUUUCUUCAAUUUGUGGUUGUUGUGGUUGUUGAAUUGGCUAAAGUUGAUGAUUAGGGGAUCUGGGUCAUUGAAAUUUGUUGGUUUUAAUGGCAGCUUUUGUGGGUUGAGGUUGAAUUGCAGGUUGAGAAUGAUGAGAGAACGACGAAUGGAAGGGAAGAGACGAAGAGUAGAUCGAGUGAAUGGGGCUUCCACAAUCCCAUGAUUUUUGGUGGGUUUGUGUUAGACGGUGUCGGGGUGGUUUUUGGGACUGUGGAGUCUCAUUAAAAAGAGUCCCCUUGCUGCCAAACAUGGGAUAACUGGGAUUGGACUAGAUAAGAAUGUCCAAUCCAGUCCAAUCCCGUGUAACAAACACCACCUUAGCGUUUAACUACCAAAAGAUAAUAAUUGUUUAUAUACUCUAAUCGACUGAAAACACAUAUCGAUAAUAAAAAUACCCGCAGCAAAGCGCGGGCUAUCUAUCUAGUAAUAAUAUAUAUCUAAUGUUUUGGGGUGGGGCUGAAGCCACUCAACUAAUUACGCGUCAUGGCACAAAAGACAAGACGGACCGCGUAAGUGGAGAGCCUCUCCAGUCCCGCCCUAUAUAUUAAGCCCCUUCAAAUUUCAAAUAUCAAAUACUCAGAUCUCUCUCUCUCUGGUUUCUCUCGACGAUUUCCAAUCUCCCGGAGCCACCGAGCUUCUGCAUUUCGUCAACCUAACCGAGAGCGAAGAUGAAAGCCGAAGAUCAAAGCCAGCUACAGCUCGUCGAACGCCAAGACAUCGACGAUGAAGACGACCUCUUCGAAGUGAUCGAUAAGCUGAUUGCUCAGGGAAUCAAUGCCGGAGAUGUUAAGAAGCUUCAGGACGCAGGGAUCUACACUUGCAAUGGUUUGAUGAUGCACACCAAGAAGGAACAAGCUCUCAUAAGAAUCUGCUGGCCGGUUGUAACAAUCGACAUGGACGUGUGUCAAGGACGUACUGGAGUGGAUAUAGAUUUAAGAAUCCAACCAAAUGAAAAGGAGAGUCCAAUAAGAAAUGGAAUUCAAAACAUUCGACAGGAUUGGAUGAAUAUUGUCAGCAAAUUGAGUGGAAGGGUUCAAGAAAUUUGUGCGACAAUAUCAAACCAAAAUGCAAAUAUGCUCAACAAUUCAAAUUAAUAGACAAUAUCUUGGAAUGUAAAAGUCAAAAGGAUCGAGUUUAAUCUUAUUUCCCGUUAUUUGUUUUGGAAUCUCAUUGAAUGAGAGAAUAAUUAGAUAAUCUUAAGAAAUUAA